rnacentral:rRNA from 1 species
CAUUCCGGUUUGGGGCACUCUAGAGGGACUGCCGGCGACAAGUCGGAGGAAGGUGGGGAUGACGUCAAAUCAUCAUGCCCCUUAUGACCUGGGCUACACACGUGCUACAAUGGGCGGUACAAAGGGCUGCGAACCCGCGAGGGGGAGCGAAUCCCAAAAAGCCGCUCUCAGUUCGGAUUGCAGGCUGCAACUCGCCUGCAUGAAGCCGGAAUCGCUAGUAAUCGCGGAUCAGCAUGCCGCGGUGAAUACGUUCCCGGGCCUU